rnacentral:rRNA from 1 species
UCUCAGUUCGGAUUGCAGGCUGCAACUCGCCUGUAUGAAGCUGGAAUUGCUAGUAAUCGCGGAUCAGCAAGCCGCGGUGAAUACGUUCCCGGGCCUUGUACACACCGCCCGUCACACCAUGAGAGUCGGGAACACCCGAAGUCCGUAGUCUAACCGCAAGGGGGGCGCGGCCGAAGGUGGGUCCGGUAAUUGGGGUGAAGUCGUAACAAGGUAAC